CAGUGGCCUGGCCAUGCUCUUGACAGAACCCACUCACAACACGCGGAUCCCAAACACAGCAAAACAACAAAACGACCGGGGGUGUGGGGGCGGAAGGAGGCCUGGAGGAGGGCACAAACUCUCACCCAGUCUGUCUCGUGGCUGUCCACACCACCCAAAGGUAGGAGCUUGGGCGAAUAGCACAGGACGUCGGCUAGGACGCUUAGCAUCAGGGUCCCUAUGGGGUGACUCAGUCAGUUGUCCACGAGGGGGGUCCCAAUGGCAAUGCAGGAACCAAACAGGACCUCGGGGUCAUGGGCCAGCUUGGGGUCAAAGGCCACUGAGGCUUGGGCGAGACAAGGCUUGGGAUCGAAGGCCACCGAGGCGUGGGCGAGAGGCAGCUGGGGUUCAGGCGCCGCCAUGACUUGAGCGAAAGACGGCUGGGGUUCAGGCCCCGUUGUGACUUGAGUGAAAGGCAGCUGGAGUUCAAGCACCACUGAGACAGGACCACGAGGCGGCCGGGCCUAGGUCGCUGCCGAGACGGGAGAGAGAGACGACCAGGGGUUGGCUGCCGCCGAGACAGGAGCAAGAGGUGGCCGAAGCUAGGUCGCCACCGAGACAGGAUUGGUGUAAUGACUUGGACUGGCCUUUAUCUACUGUGACGACAGACCACGAUCCACCACCAUCAAUGGGGUACACAUCAAAGGGAACCAUUUCUCUCUUCACAGCUUCUUUACAUUCACACGAAACCAGGUACCGGUUCUACUGAAGGGUCGAAGUUCGCCCUCUGACACGCCCACGUCCAAGACUCUUCACUGUUUCCAUUGUCUCUUGGAUGGCAUCAGUAUUUACUUUUUCAUACAUGACCACCAAGACAGCAUGAGCCAGAUCUAAUGACUCCUAUUGGCACCAUCCUCUUAAUUGUUUUAUCAACUCAGUCUGUGUAUCCAUUUUAGAACCCAAGCUAUCAAAUUUUACCAGCACAAAAUAAAAAAAUAAAUGCACAAAUAAAUGUCACUAGUAUCCCAGUGGUGCCUCCAAAUUAUGUAGCGCCUCUGGAGUAAAAAAUAAUUCGACAAGGUAGCCACCUGAGUUCUUUCCUCACUCCAAAGUAGGAAACUAAUAAAUUAACUCAAUGGUAAUUACUCUAAAUGCCUAUUACAACUUUACUUGUGCAUUUAGUUCUCUAUCAAAAUGUCUCUGAAAUAAUAUUUCCCUUGUGAGUAAAGGUUAACUAAUGUAGAUAACCCAGCUAUCAUAUAAACUCCCCACUUCUAACUGUCUUGCAGAUAGUCAAUUAAUACACCUGGUUAUGUAACAAAAACUGUGAACAUUUAAUAACAAAAUAAAGGUUAGAAAAGCAAAUCUCUUUACUCAACAGUCAUUCAGUAAAUAAAUUGAACAAAACAGGUACACACUACACACGUGGCUAGGCUAACCUACGCUAAGGGCCCAAGCAAAAAUGAAUUUAGCCGGCAAAGCAAACGAAAUUCAAACCUCAAUGUCACUGCGGUGUUUCCCCUGGCAGGAGUGUAGAAAGGUGAAGGUGGUUUUUUUCUCUGUCCAGCGUCCUCAGAGUCCUUGUCCUUUUUUUCUUCCUUGAAGUCCAAACACAGGCCUUGCUAGCCGCAUUAGCUCGACGCUAGCGCCCUUGUCUUCUCCCUCGUGGUCCAACACACAGGUCUUGUUAGCUAGCGUUAGCUGGUUGCUAGCGACCAAGCCAAGUCCCAUGCAUGCACUUUAGCCCCUGUGGUAACGGCUAACUCCACCACGUUUCGGUGUGAUUUGUGUCGUCCACGCAAAUGACACACCAUCCCAGUUGAACUUUCAAUAGUCCUUGUCGAACACUUUCAUCAACUUUUGAUAAAUGUCUACCGUUCACUUUCUUUGUCGUUUUUUCAACCACCUCUCCCGGUCACACCAUCCAGCUUCUCUCUCUCUCUCUC